UCCCUGAUGGUCUGGUGGUUAGGAUUCGGCACUUUUACUGCCGUGGCCUGGGUUCAAUCCCUGGUUGGGGAG